AUUGAACGCUGGCGGCAUGCCUUACACAUGCAAGUCGAACGGCAGCGGACCUUCGGGUGCCGGCGAGUGGCGAACCGGGUGAGUAAUAUAUCGGAACGUACCUUUCAGUGGGGGAUAACGUAGCGAAAGUUACGCUAAUACCGCAUAUUCUGUGAGCAGGAAAGCAGGGGAUCGCAAGACCUUGCGCUGAUUGAGCGGCCGAUAUCAGAUUAGCUAGUUGGUGAGGUAAAGGCUCACCAAGGCGACGAUCUGUAGCGGGUCUGAGAGGAUGAUCCGCCACACUGGAACUGAGACACGGUCCAGACUCCUACGGGAGGCAGCAGUGGGGAAAUUUUGGACAAUGGGCGCAAGCCUGAUCCAGCCAUGCCGCGUGAGUGAAGAAGG
rnacentral:rRNA from 1 species